rnacentral:misc_RNA from 1 species
UUUCCGUAGGUGAACCUGCGGAAGGAUCAUUACCGAGUGAGGGUCUCUCAGGCCCGACCUCCUACCCUGUGUUUUUGUGACCUUGUUGCUUUUGCGGGUCCGCCUCGAUGUGAGGCCGCCGGAAGCUCACCGCUUUGGGAACGUGCCCGCCAGGAGACCCUUUAAAUUCUUAAUAAAACUGUCGUCUGAGUUUAGAUAUAAUAAAAAAAACUUUCAACAACGGAUCACUUAGUUCUGGCAUCGAAGAAGAACACAGCAGAACGGAAGUACACACGUCAG